GAUGAACGCUGGCGGCGUGCCUAACACAUGCAAGUCGAGCGAUUCUCUUCGGAGAAGAGCGGCGGACGGGUGAGUAACGCGUGGGUAACCUGCCCUGUACACACGGAUAACAUACCGAAAGGUAUGCUAAUACGGGAUAAUAUGCUUUAGUCGCAUGGCUGAAGUAUCAAAGCUCCGGCGGUACAGGAUGGACCCGCGUCUGAUUAGCUAGUCGGUAAGGUAACGGCUUACCAAGGCGACGAUCAGUAGCCGACCUGAGAGGGUGAUCGGCCACAUUGGAACUGAGACACGGUCCAAACUCCUACGGGAGGCAGCAGUGGGGAAUAUUGCACAAUGGGCGAAAGCCUGAUGCAGCAACGCCGCGUGAGCGAUGAAGGCCUUCGGGUCGUAAAGCUCUGUCCUCAAGGAAGAUAAUGACGGUACUUGAGGAGGAAGCCCCGGCUAACUACGUGCCAGCAGCCGCCGCGG
rnacentral:rRNA from 1 species